CGAGCAUUAUUUGUAUAUCGUACAUAGAUAUUUAAUUAUCUUGAUAAAACUACGCAACACAGCUACGCCGUUGUCGUUGUGGAUUGACGUCAUGAUGACACUUGUUUGUCUGGGCGACUCAAUGGAACGCAGGCGGCCUGAAAAUAGUGGCGGCGAUUUCUCAAUGGAAAAGGAUGAUGGGCACGUGUUUGAUCAAUGAUCGAUCACACGCACUUGAUACAGAGAAAUUGAGACACCGGAAGAGACAAUCAUCGGGACCAUCUUGGCAAUAAUUUAUCUAUUAAUAAUAUUAAAGAGCCGAGUCAGAAGAUACAGACGAACAUGUACAAAAUGAUGUUACGUUUGCUAUUACAGAAGAUGUUUUCGUAUCGUAUUCUUCGUGCAAUAAGUGUAAGCAAGUAUGAUAAUUUCUUUUUCAAUUUAUAUGCAAUUUUUCUCAAAAUUAAUUCCCUCCCUUCUCUUCCUCUCUUCUUUUUCAGUCUGUAGAGAUUUUUGCCCCAUCCGAUUUCGAUCGAGGAUCGAUUCUAGAAUCUUGAGACGCGCACGCGCGAAUUCGUACAGUUUUCAAACGGAAAACGAGACGACAAUAUCCCCCUAUUUCUAUUAUCUAUCCUCUGCACGAGAACGUGAUAUCGAGUAGGCAAGGUUGGGAGCGAUAAAUCGAUUCGAGAGACGUCACGAGAGCCGAGCAAACGGGCAGUUUUUUUUUAUUUGCAUUCGAUGAUAAUGACAGAGCUCUGCUAGGAGGAAGGUGGAGCCCACGUUUGGAUAAUAAUAAUCAUAGGAGGAGUGUAUAACGUGGUGGUACCAAGAAAAUGCAAGUACACAAAGUUUAACGUCAAUCAUGGUACGUUAUGGAUAUUGACGGAUAUUGAAAUUUACAAGAAUCGAGCGAUUGCAAAAUAUGCAAAUAUUUCAUCAACACAUCUUUCUUACGUAAAAAUUCAAGCAAUUUAAGAGACUGGCAUAAUGAAGGAAAAUGAGGAAAAUGACAAGUGUAAUGACAGAUUGACGAAUUAUGAAAUAAAGAAGUAAAAUUAUUACAUCGGGAGUUGAUAAAAAUUUCCGUAAUUGACGAAGACAGUUUUCAAUUUAUAGAUUGCAAAAUACCAAACGAUUUGAAAGAUUCGUUUUAAUCGAUUUAAAAUUAAUUUUAUAGACGCUUAAAUUCAGAUGAAAUUCUUCAGUGUUUCUUCAUUUUAAUGUGGUUAUAUUUCAAAAUUUUAUUAUUGAUUGUUUUAAUAUUAAUUUUUAUGUUAAUAUAGGAGUUAUUUAUAAAAGACAAUUUGAGAAAGGUUGAAAAACAUCGCGCAUUCAAUAUAUAUUGUAUAUGUUGUAAUAUGAAAACUGCGAUCGGAAUUAAAGAAAUCGAUAAAAA